rnacentral:rRNA from 1 species
UACGUAGGUGGCAAGCGUUGUCCGGAUUUACUGGGCGUAAAGAGCGCGCAGGCGUCGCUCAAGUCGCGUGUGAAAGCCCCCGGCUCAACUGGGGAGGGUCACGCGAUACUGAUCGACUGGAAGGCAGGAGAGGGUAGUGGAAUUCCCGGUGUAGUGGUGAAAUGCGUAGAUAUCGGGAGGAACACCAGUGGCGAAGGCGACUACCUGGCCUGUUCUUGACGCUGAGGCGCGAAAGCUAGGGGAGCAAACGGG